rnacentral:rRNA from 1 species
UACGUAGGCAGCGAGCGUUGUUCGGAGUUACUGGGCGUAAAGGGUGCGUAGGUGGCUUAGUACGUCAGGAGUGAAAUCCCCAGGCUCAACCUGGGAAUUGCUUUUGAGACUACUAAGCUUGAGUACAGGAGAGGUGAGUGGAAUUCCCAGUGUAGAGGUAAAAUUCGUAGAUAUUGGGAGGAACACCAGUGGCGAAGGCGGCUCACUGGCCUGUAACUGACACUGAGGCACGAAAGCGUGGGGAGCAAACAGG